AUCCUGCAACAGAAAAGGACAUUAGUGGAAAAGCCAAAUGAACUGUCACCUAGUUAAUUGUAUCAUACCAAUGUUUUCAAGGUUUGACAAAUGUACAGUGGUUAUGCAAGAGGUUAUCUAACAUCUUUGCAACGCUUUUGUAGGUAUGAAAUUACUCAAGCAUAUCUUAUAGUGAAGCAAUGAUUGAGAUAAUGGUAAAAAAUUCUCAUCAAUAGGAAUGAUCUGGUGGGACUUGAGGAUGCCAAGUCCAGAGUCUAGCUGGACAAGAGAACAUGUGUGUAUAACCCACAGCUAUGCAUACUGGCAUAAGAAAGUCCAUUCCAGCCUGAGCGAACGGAGAAGGAAGUCAACAGACAAAGGCAAUCACCACCAUAAUCAAAUUUAUUAUUCCAAUGGCACUAAUACAGCUUUGAGGUGCUCUGGUGACAUUGCACAAAAUUUCCUGCCUUCUAGCUUCUGUCCAAACAGAAAUGUCUACCUGCUUAUUCUUUCCCCCUUUCUGGGGGAAAAUCCACUGUGGGCCAUUUACCCAAAUAAACCUCUUAAUGCGUUUUAA